AUUGAACGCUGGCGGCAUGCCUAACACAUGCAAGUCGAACGGAAACGAUGGGAGCUUGCUCCCAGGCGUCGAGUGGCGGACGGGUGAGUAAUGCUUAGGAAUCUACCCAGUAGCGGGGGACAACUCGAGGAAACUCGAGCUAAUACCGCAUACGCCCUACGGGGGAAAGCAGGGGAUCUUCGGACCUUGCACUAUUGGAUGAGCCUAAGUCAGAUUAGCUUGUUGGUGAGGUAAAGGCUCACCAAGGCGACGAUCCGUAGCUGGUCUGAGAGGACGAUCAGCCACACUGGGACUGAGACACGGCCCAGACUCCUACGGGAGGCAGCAGUGGGGAAUAUUGGACAAUGGGGGCAACCCUGAUCCAGCAAUGCCGCGUGUGUGAAGAAGGCCUGCGGGUUGUAAAGCACUUUCAGUAGAGAAGAAAAGCCUAGGGUUAAUACCCCUGAGUCU
rnacentral:rRNA from 1 species